UACGUGGAAGACUAGUGUUAUUCAUCUUUAUUAGGUUUAAAGGGUACCUAGACGGUUAAUUUAAACUGUUUAUGCUAUAAAUUAACUAGAGUUUAAUAAGAGAAGAGUAGAACUUAUAGAGUAGAGAUCAAAUUUUUUAAUACUAUAAGGACAGGUAUGGGCAAAAGCAACCUUCUAUUUAAAAACUGACGUUAAGGGACGAAGGCUUGGGUAGCAAUAAGG
rnacentral:rRNA from 1 species